CAUAAGAUGAGCUCUCAGAAAGUUUCCAGACAAUCUUGGUUCAUGAAAGACACCCGUAAAAUGGGUCUUGCUGCAGGGCUGUUCAGGAAAGGUCACCAUCUCUCGUGGGAAACCAUUUAUUUUGCUAUUAGCUGUAAUCGUUUUACCAACAUCACCGUGCCACCCGAAAACAUUACAAGAAACCCGUUUGUUUUUUUUUGGUGAUGCCUGCCAGCGUACUUCGUAUUCGCACUGCACGGCUUUGUCGCGCGAGUACGUCCUAUUUUGUAAUACAGCCCAGCAAAGCGCCUCCUCUUCGGGCAAGUAUCCCGGCAACCAGAUAACAGAAGAGGAAAAACAUCCUCACGCCGCUGCCAUCAGACCAGACGAGCCGCAUUUCUGCCAAACACUCAUCUUUAAAACAUCUCCCGGGGUUGCGCCGGAGCCAAAAUGACGGGUUCUGAGUCACGGCUCGGAGAUGCGGGGCUGGGGGUGGCUGCAGGGAGUGCUGCAGACGAAAGCCGGGACCAAACCGAGCUGAAACUCGUGUCGAAACACCACGGCGCUGUGGCCAUGGUGUUACCGUGCCAACCGUGUCCUGCACCUGGUCACACCGGCUGACACCAUUAAAGGUGUGCCCCACGCUCAGCGCCGCUGUCCACGCAACACCCCAGCCGAAAACAAAUCCAGUCUGUCACUCGUUUGACACAGAAAGCCUCUCAUCAAUUCCCUGUGGGCUCAUCUGUUCCGCCCCCCACUCCCGUCGAAAGAGCACCCCCCCCAGCCAUGUUUCUGGAUGCACGCAACGUUCCCACCCAGACACAGAUGCACACAGGCUGGAUUAAUUCUGCGAGGUAUGCAAAUGACCUGAAGCUUCUAAAACUGUUUCUGAAACACAGACGAUGGGAUUCUGGGAUGAUUCACGCAGGAAUUUCUUGGCAAAAUAAGUUUAGUAAUAACGAAAUGCAAGGCUUCAAUGAGUUAAAUCUCAAAAAAAAACUUCUCCCCUGUACCAGACAAAAGAAAACAUUGCAUUAUUGGCAUGCAGAUGCAUUGGGUGGGGCAUUCAGUGGGAAAUAAAUCUUUGAUUACAAGUUAUUAUUAGUUAUCUGAAGAAAAGUAACAUCCAAGUAUCUUGCCUGUGUUGUCUUGUGAAUGUAUUCAGUUCUGGAAAACAAGCGUGGGGUGUCUCAAGACAUAUUGGGGAAGUGUGGAUAGAAUGCUGUACAGACAGACGUGUGCAAGCUCUUUUUAUGUUUGGGGCUUGUUCAUGCCAUCUGCAUGUCUUAAUUCAAAGCAGCAGGGUAGCUAUUGAAGGCGCCCCCUGAUGAAUUUCUGGGGAUUAAAAUGCCUGUUAAUGAAGAUCA